UACAGAGGUCUCAAGCGUUGUUCGGAUUCAUUGGGCGUAAAGGGUGCGUAGGCGGUCGGGUAAGUCUGAUGUGAAAUCUCCGAGCUUAACUCGGAAAUGGCAUUGGAUACUAUUCGGCUGGAGAGUUGGAGGGGGGACUGGAAUACUUGGUGUAGCAGUGAAAUGCGUAGAUAUCAAGUGGAACACCAGUGGCGAAGGCGAGUCCCUGGACAACUUCUGACGCUGAGGCACGAAAGCUAGGGGAGCAAACAGG
rnacentral:rRNA from 1 species